CACGUAGGUGGAUAUUUAAGUCAGGGGUGAAAUCCCAGAGCUCAACUCUGGAACUGCCUUUGAUACUGGGUAUCUGGAGUAUGGAAGAGGUAAGUGGAAUUCCGAGUGUAGAGGUGAAAUUCGUAGAUAUUCGGAGGAACACCAGUGGCGAAGGCGGCUUACUGGUCCAUUACUGACGCUGAGGUGCGAAAGCGUGGGGAGCGAACA
rnacentral:rRNA from 1 species